rnacentral:lncRNA from 1 species
AGCUUUUUAACCGGUCGAUUUUUAUUUUAAAUUUUGAUCAAAACUUGUAUGUUUCCGAGAAGUUUAUUUCAUGUUGAUCAUUUUGGUGCAUUCAGUUUAACUUUUCAGACAUUUUUACACCCGAUUUAUUUUAUUUUACUUUAAAUUCUUUUAUUAUUGUUUUUUUAUCAUUAAAAUGUUUAGAAAAGAUACUUAGAAUUAGUUAUAUUUUCA